AGUACAGUGCGAAGGAUUAAUUCUUCAAGGCGCGCUCUGUCACUUUAUAGUGGAUGAGCUGAAUGCCAAGCUUGCUCUUGAAAAAUAUGAGGAAAUGUUUCCAGCAUUUACUGACUCCAGAGAAUGCAAAUUAUUGAAAAAACUUCUAGAAGCUCAUGAAGAACAGAACAGUGAAGCUUACACUGAAGCAGUAAGUUACACCUUUAAGACAUGUUGCAUUUUUAAAGGUUGACAGUAUAAAAAUUUCUUUUUCUUUGCAUUGAUAAAUUCUGAACAUUUAUUUGAAUGUGGUUCAACUUGCUUGUAUUUUUCAAAGACAAUGUCUUGCGUGUCCCACAGAUUAGUUCCAUUAAGCUUUGGAAAGAUGGCUCUGUGGUUUCGAACAUUUGCAGAGGACCACAGUUGGGUUCCCAGCGCUCCACAGCUCAGGACCAUCUGUAACUCGAGUUUCAGGGGAUCAGCGCCCUCUCCUGACCUCCAAGAGCACCAGGCAUACACAUUGUGCACAUGCAUUCAUACACAUAAAAUAAAUCAGCCUGGGUUU